CAGGCAACAUGAACACUUCCUCUUCCUGAAACUUGCCAGUCAUCCCUGAAUGUGACAACUGCAGGAAAUAAACAACAGGCUGCAGCUGUCAAAUAAGAAGGGGCAGUGUAUAUUUAUCACGUGUAGUUCCUCUUUGAUAGGUGCCUAUGAUGGACAACAUGGUGGCAGCAGACGUACGUAGAUCUCACCCUUGUGUAAGAGGCGUAAGGCUGGGCACAAUCCCAUGCUCUCUGCUACAAAUACUACAUUGUUUGGGUCAGGAAA